UACGUAGGGGGGCUAGCGUUGUCCGGAAUCACUGGGCGUAAAGGGUGCGUAGGCGGGUCUUUAAGUCAGAGGUGAAAUCCUGGAGCUCAACUCCAGAACUGCCUUUGAUACUGAAGAUCUUGAGUUCGGGAGAGGUGAGUGGAACUGCGAGUGUAGAGGUGAAAUUCGUAGAUAUUCGCAAGAACACCAGUGGCGAAGGCGGCUCACUGGCCCGAUACUGACGCUGAGGCACGAAAGCGUGGGGAGCAAACAGG
rnacentral:rRNA from 1 species